UCUUCAAUUGUCUACCAGGGGGAGUGGUGGAUUUACUUCUACAACUUCUGGGAUGGAUCCUGAAAAGGAAUUAUUUCCUCUUUGAAGUUUUCACCCACCCUCUACAAUCAAAGGGCUACCAUAUAGCCAAAUGUUACGAACAAGACGCAUUGUAAGUGAAGAUGACAAAUUUGAAGAGAGAGCAGAAGAAAUGAUGACCCACUUUGAGAGUAGAGGCUAUGGGACAGAUAUGUUGGAAACAGCCAGGGAGAAAGUAAAAGAUGGACCAGAGGUUAAAACCAUGGGUGGCGGAACCUCCAAUGAUGGCCUAUAAAAGAUCAAGCAACCUGAGGGACCAUCUGGUCCAUGCGUUAAUUGAACCACAAAAGAAGCAAGAUCAUAUAAGAAAUGAGUGAUGGAUUAUCCAUUGAAUUUUUGUGUCCUCCUAUUAACCUCACCAAAGGUUUUUUUAAAAAAAACGAAAAAACGAGGAAAUAUUUUAAUGAGCACUGUCACUUUAAAU